UUACGUUCAUCCGUUAGGACGCAUGCCACCUGAUCAUGGAACGGGGGUCAGGU
ncrna:unclassified sequences Glutamine-II riboswitch (downstream peptide RNA)